rnacentral:tRNA from 1 species
AUUUAAAUAGUUUAAUUAAAAUAUUGAUUUGUGGAGUCAAAGAUGUAUUAUUACUUUAAAUU